AAUGAACGCUGGCGGCAUGCCUAAUACAUGCAAGUCGAACGAACACACAAGGAGAUUUCGCCCCUAACGUUAGCGACGGACGGAUGAGUAACACGUGGAUCACAUACCUCUUAGACUGGGAUAAUAUCGUGAAACAAGAUCUGAUACCGGAUAAUAUAUCGAACGGCAUAGUGCAGUAGUUAAAGACACUUUUCGCGUCACUAAUAGAUGAUGCCGCGUCAGAUUAGCUAGUUGGUAAGGUAACAGCAUACCAAGGCGACGAUGCGUAGCCGACCUGAGAGGGUGAUCGGCCACACUGGAACUGAGACACGGUCCAGACUCCUACGGGAGGCAGCAGUAGGGAAUCUUCCGCAAUGGGCGAAAGCCUGAUGCAGCAAUGCCGCGUGGGUGAUGAAGGUCUUCGGAUCGUAAAGCCCUGUUGUUAGGAAAGAACAAAUGUGGAUUUAAACCUGGCCGUUUUGACGGUACCUAAAGAGUAAGCCACGGCUAACUUCGUG
rnacentral:rRNA from 1 species